UUUUAGCAUAAAUAUUUUUGUUCUCAUUUAAAAAAUACCUGGCCACUUGAGCGAUGUCAUUGGGUUCGUGCUCUGUCAUCUUAUAGGUACCUACU